rnacentral:rRNA from 1 species
AUUCCACAAAGAAUUAUCACAGGUUAUAGGAUGGUAAUUGAUUUCCGCAAAUUAAAUAAGGCUACUAAGAAAGAUCAUUACCCCUUACCUUUUAUUAAUCAAAUGCUAGAAAGACUAUGCAAACAUACACAUUAUUGCUUUCUAGAUGGUUACUCUGGUUUUUCUCAAAUACCUGUGUCGGCUAAAGAUCAAUCAAAGACUACUUUUACAUGCCCUUUUGGUACUUUUGCUUAUAGACUUAUGCCUUUUGGUUUAUGUAAUGCACCUGCUACCUUUCAAAGAUGCAUGAUGGCUAUAUUCUCUGACUUUUGUGAGAAAAUUUGCGAGGUUUUCAUGGAUGACUUUUCUGUCUAUGGUUCCUCUUUUGAUGAUUGCUUGAGCAAUCUUGCUCGAGUUUUGCAGAGAUGUGAAGAAACUAAUCUUGUCUUGAAUUGGGAAAAGUGCCACUUUAUGGUUAAUGAAGGUAUUGUCUUGGGGCACAAAGUUUCUGAACGAGGUAUUGAAGUUGAUAAAGCCAAGGUUGAUGCUAUUGAAAAGAUGCCAUGUCCCAAGGACAUGAAAGGUAUAAGAAGUUUCCUUGGUCAUGCCAGAUUUUAUAGGAGGUUCAUCAAGGACUUCUCAAAAAUCUCUCGGCCUCUGACCAAUUUAUUACAAAAAGAUGUACCAUUUGUCUUUGAUGAUGAUUGUGUACAAGCAUUUGAAAUACUUAAGAAAGCAUUAGUCUCUGCACCUGUUGUUCAGCCACCUGAUUGGAAUUUACCCUUUGAAAUUAUGUGUGAUGCUAGUGAUUAUGCUGUAGGUGUUGUUCUA